UCCAAUUAUCAAAGUUAUUGCCCGAGUGUUUAUUUAACUUAAUACAUUAACACAAUUCAAACAAAGCCUAUACAACAAAUCAAGGAUAAUCGAUAGCCGGACGGCGUAAUUACAAAAAACUAAUUGACAAGUUAUUUGUCGUGUCGUGAUUUAUGUACCAGAAAAAGUAUUUUACUAACUACCAAGAAGCCGAACAAUCAAUACAAUUGUCUAUUGAACUUGACAUAAAUGAAUACUCCAAAAGUGAUUUGGUUAAAAGGAAAGGCAUUCUAUUCGAAUUGUUAAAUGGGAAGUUCUAUUUUAUCCACCACAUAGUCUUUCUUAAUUACAUCGUGGUCUAAUUUUUAGGUAACAAACGGUUUAAUUCUUAAGAGGAAGCCAAAAGUGAGACUGAUUUUUUCUUCAGUUGGCGUCGAUUUGCUUGAAGGACAUUGGCAUCAAAAUAAUGAGUUUAAUGGUGACUAUUCAGUUGAAUUUAAGUGUGGUUAAAGAUAGUUCUCUU